UUGGAGGUUGAGAUGAAGCUAAGUGAGUAGUAACGUCUUAGAAUGAUUAGAAAUAAGAAAGUUAGCCAUUGAAGAACGUGCAGAGAAUGAGUAAUAUGAGGUCAUGUUGGAAGUGACUUGUGUUAGGUGAGAGUUUGCGAAAAGGAUUACCGGACAUGUGAGUAGAUGUUGUGUUUGAGCACAUAUAAUAAGGAGUUGAAGGCAAUGUCUAAGGUAAGUGUCGGAGAGCAUUUUGUAGUGCCCAAAAGAUAAGAGUGAGUAAGUAUUUACUAAGGAAUUUGGAUUUAUGGAAUAGGAAAGUCGGUGGAGACUAGUGUUGCUAGAUGCAUCGUGGAUGUUGGUGUAGUAUGGUCAUAAUUGGUGAUAAUGAAGUAAAAGAUUUUAAAUUGUUUCAUCAUAAAUGAUGGAACGGUAGAGAUUUGAUGUAUAACUUAAAACGUAUUUUGGACGAGAAUUUUGGAAAU
rnacentral:lncRNA from 1 species